UUUUGUAUAAUGGGUCAGCGACUUAUAUUCUGUAGCAAGGUUAACCGAAUAGGGGAGCCGAAGGGAAACCGAGUCUUAACUGGGCGUUAAGUUGCAGGGUAUAGACCCGAAACCCGGUGAUCUAGCCAUGGGCAGGUUGAAGGUUGGGUAACACUAACUGGAGGACCGAACCGACUAAUGUUGAAAAAUUAGCGGAUGACUUGUGGCUGGGGGUGAAAGGCCAAUCAAACCGGGAGAUAGCUGGUUCUCCCCGAAAGCUAUUUAGGUAGCGCCUCGUGAAUUCAUCUCCGGGGGUAGAGCACUGUUUCGGCAAGGGGGUCAUCCCGACUUACCAACCCGAUGCAAACUGCGAAUACCGGAGAAUGUUAUCACGGGAGACACACGGCGGGUGCUAACGUCCGUCGUGAAGAGGGAAACAACCCAGACCGCCAGCUAAGGUCCCAAAGUCAUGGUUAAGUGGGAAACGAUGUGGGAAGGCCCAGACAGCCAGGAUGUUGGCUUAGAAGCAGCCAUCAUUUAAAGAAAGCGUAAUAGCUCACUGGUCGAGUCGGCCUGCGCGGAAGAUGUAACGGGGCUAAACCAUGCACCGAAGCUGCGGCAGCGACACUAUGUGUUGUUGGGUAGGGGAGCGUUCUGUAAGCCUGUGAAGGUGUGCUGUGAGGCAUGCUGGAGGUAUCAGAAGUGCGAAUGCUGACAUAAGUAACGAUAAAGCGGGUGAAAAGCCCGCUCGCCGGAAGACCAAGGGUUCCUGUCCAACGUUAAUCGGGGCAGGGUGAGUCGACCCCUAAGGCGAGGCCGAAAGGCGUAGUCGAUGGGAAACAGGUUAAUAUUCCUGUACUUGGUGUUACUGCGAAGGGGGGACGGAGAAGGCUAUGUUGGCCGGGCGACGGUUGUCCCGGUUUAAGCGUGUAGGCUGGUUUUCCAGGCAAAUCCGGAAAAUCAAGGCUGAGGCGUGAUGACGAGGCACUACGGUGCUGAAGCAACAAAUGCCCUGCUUCCAGGAAAAGCCUCUAAGCAUCAGGUAACAUCAAAUCGUACCCCAAACCGACACAGGUGGUCAGGUAGAGAAUACCAAGGCGCUUGAGAGAACUCGGGUGAAGGAACUAGGCAAAAUGGUGCCGUAACUUCGGGAGAAGGCACGCUGAUAUGUAGGUGAAGCGACUUGCUCGUGGAGCUGAAAUCAGUCGAAGAUACCAGCUGGCUGCAACUGUUUAUU
rnacentral:rRNA from 1 species